rnacentral:rRNA from 1 species
AUUGAACGCUGGCGGCAGGCCUAACACAUGCAAGUCGAACGGUAGCACAGAGAGCUUGCUCUCGGGUGACAAGUGGCGGACGGGUGAGUAACGUCUGGGAAACUGCCCGAUGGUGGGGGAUAACUACUGGAAACGGUAGCUAAUACCGCAUAACGUCGCAAGACAAAAGUGGGGGGCCCUCGGACCUCACACCAUCGGAUUUGCCCAGAUGGGAUUAGCUAGUAGGUGGGGUAAUGGCUCACCUAGGCGACGAUCCCUAGCUGGUCUGAGAGGAUGACCAGCCACACUGGAACUGAGACACGGUCCAGACUCCUACGGGAGGCAGCAGUGGGGAAUAUUGCACAAUGGGCGCAAGCCUGAUGCAGCCAUGCCGCGUGUAUGAAGAAGGCCUUCGGGUUGUAAAGUACUUUCAGCGGGGAGGAAGGCGGUGGAGUUAAUAACUUCACCGAUUGACGUUACCCGCAGAAGAAGCACCGGCUAACUCCGUGCCAGCCGCCGCCGUAACAC